rnacentral:pre_miRNA from 13 species
UGCCCACCUCUGUGUGAUAUGUUUGAUAUUAGGUUGUUACGCUAGACCUCACCUGAAUAUCAGACAUAUUCCUACAGCGGCUGGGC